AAUCAGCAUUUAUAUUCUCAUUAACCUGGGAUAUGCACAAAAACAAGGUCUGCACAUGUGUCAUGAAUCCCAUAUUGGUUUUUUGUUGGAAAAUUUUUGAGAACAAUAAUAAUAAUAAUUUAAGACAUUUUGUGAAUGAGGCCCAUUGUCUGAACAUUCCCUAAAAAUAAAAUUUAGAAACAUGGGGCAGGCAUACAUAAUUUGUAUUAUAUAUGUAUUCAAAAAAUGAAAACCUGGCUCUUCAAGUUUGCUGAGUUUCGCCAUUAUGCUCGUAGACAAGCGCUGCACGUUGCUUCGUAAAUCCCCUCCACCACCCCAGCUCCAUCCCCAUGCGUCAAUAAUUUGCAUUCUCCAUUGCUAUGUGUUAAGAAUUUGUAUUGCUCCAUCCCCAUGUGUUAAGAACUUGCUUUGCUGCUGGAUCUGCUCUGUGUGUACCCCUCUAGGGGGGUUUGGCUGCUGAGCUCCAGAACAGAGCCAUACCGCCAAACAUAACUGUAUUGCCUUUAUUGUCAAUAAAGUUCUACUUUGA